AUGUCAGGCGUUCACUUUGUUUUAUUUACAAGUCCUCCUAUACUUAUAUGUUGCCAAUUUGCCUGUCAUAAUAAAUGUAACUAUAUAAUUUGAUUCAAUGACAAUUUAGCUAUAUAAUAAAACUAUAUAAUUUAUCAAACUUACCCCUAUCCCGGUUGCCCAACCAGUCCCAGCAGGAUUUUCAUCUGUAAUACCUAUUCUACGACAAAGUAUACCAGCUCCUGAAACUGCCCAAACUUGACCCUGUUCUCUUGCAAUGGCAACUUGUCGAAAGCCUUGUUUCGCAUUUGCAACAGCCAUCUAUGUGUAUGGGAUCAUUCGGCAUCACAGGAAGCGUUUGCCAGUGCGUUCCUUCUGGGAAAACGUUCACUUGCACACCAUGGCGUACAGAUAAUUUACCCGCCAUAUCUAAAGCCCACACCACGUCUUUUCCAACAGAAAUCUGUUUCAAAUGAGCACCUGAUGGUGGUUCAACAUUCUGCCAUUGUAUUCCUGAACAAUCAAAUAAUAAUUAGAAAAGAUUUCAAUAAUAACAAAGAUAUAUUCAUACUAUUAUAUACCUGUUGGUUUUGCAGGAGUAAUACCUAAUCUCCAGUAAGAAGAACCAUUCUUUCCAACAGCCCAUACUUGCCCGCAUGGACCACAUGAAAUACCUACUAAAGCUUGAUCACUUGGUAUAUGUUCCCAUGAAACUCCC
rnacentral:misc_RNA from 1 species